AUUGAACGCUGGCGGCAUGCUUUACACAUGCAAGUCGAACGGUAACAGGCCUUCGGGUGCUGACGCGUGGCGAACGGGUGAGUAAUUCAUCGGAACGUGCCCAGCGGUGGGGUAUAACGCAGCGAAAGCUGUGCUAAUACCGCACGUGAUCUGAGGAUGAAAGCGGGGGACCAGGCAGCAAUGUUUGGCCUGUGGCGUUUGAGCGCGCGCUGUCAGAGUUGGUAGGUGGUGGGGUAAAUGCCCACCAAGCCGACGAUCUGUAGCUGGUCUGAGGGGACGACCGGCCACACUGGGACUGGGACACGGCCCAGACUCCUGCGGGAGGGAGCAGUCGGGAAUUUUGGACAAUGGGCGCAAGCCUGAUCCAGCAAUGCCGCGUGCGAGAAGAAGGCCUUCGGGUUGUAAACCGCUUUUGUACGGAACGAAAAGGCUCUGGCUAAUACCUGGGGCUGAUGACGGUACCGUAAGAAUAAGCACCGGCUAACUACGUG
rnacentral:rRNA from 1 species